rnacentral:tRNA from 1 species
ACUAAUAUGGCAGAAUAGUGCAAUGAAUUUAAGCUUCAUUUAUAAAGAAUCUCUUUUUUUAGUA